rnacentral:lncRNA from 1 species
GGUGUGAGAAAAUAGCUAGUGCGGCGCAGCAGGCCCACACGCUGCUGUGGUGGCUACGUGGGUGAGGUGGGUGCAUAUGAAGGGGCAGGAACUGCAAAUAAUAAAGCAUGACGUGAAUUACACCAACGGCAAGCAUGCGCUUGCUAGGUAGCUAGCAGAGCAGCUGCUGCAGUUUCACUCACCGAAAGCCGGACCAGGCCGAACCUCGAUGUCUGCAAUGCGGAGUGUCUAUAGACAAUAAACGAAUUCACCGAUCGGUAAUUUUCUGUUGUCGUGACACAACAGAUGCCAG